GAAAUGCGAUAAGUAAUGUGAAUUGCAGAAUUCAGUGAAUCAUCGAAUCUUAGAACGCACCUUGCGCUCCUUGGUAUUCCUUGGAGCAUGCCUGUUUGAGUAUCAUGAAAUCUUCAAAGUAAAUCUUUUGUUAACUCAAUUGGUUUCUACUUUGGUAUUGGAGGUCUUUGCAGCUUCACACCUGCUCCUCUUUGUUCAUUAGCUGGAUCUCAGUGUUAUGCUUGGUUCCACUCGGCGUGAUAAGUUAUCUAUCGCUGAGGACACUGUAAAAGGUGGCCAAGGUAAAUGCAGAUGAACCGCUUCUAAUAGUCCAUUGACUUGGACAAUACUUUUAUGAUCUGAUCUCAAAUCAGGUAGGACUACCCGCUGAACUUAAGC
rnacentral:misc_RNA from 1 species